AAAAGACCCUAGCGGCAGGCUUAAUACAUGCAAGUCGUGGGGCAGCAUGAAUGUAGCAAUACAUUUGAUGGCGACCGGCAAACGGGUGCGGAACACGUACACAACCUUCCUAUAAGUGGGGAAUAGCCCAGAGAAAUUUGGAUUAAUACCCCGUAACAUAACGAUGUGGCAUCACAUUGUUAUUAUAGCUUCGGCGCUUAUUGAUGGGUGUGCGGCUGAUUAGAUAGUUGGCGGGGUAACGGCCCACCAAGUCUACGAUCAGUAGCUGAUGUGAGAGCAUGAUCAGCCACACGGGCACUGAGACACGGGCCCGACUCCUACGGGAGGCAGCAGUAAGGAAUAUUGGUCAAUGGACGCAAGUCUGAACCAGCCAUGCCGCGUGAAGGAUUAAGGUCCUCUGGAUUGUAAACUUCUUUAUCUGGGACGAAAAAAGGCGAUUCUUCGUCACUUGACGGUACCAGAUGAAUAAGCACCGGCUAACUCCGUGCCAGCAGCCGCGGUAAUACGGAGGGUGCAAGCGUUAUCCGGAUUCACUGGGUUUAAAGGGUGCGUAGGCGGGCAGGUAAGUCAGUGGUGAAAUCCUGGAGCUUAACUCCAGAACUGCCAUUGAUACUAUCUGUCUUGAAUAUUGUGGAGGUAAGCGGAAUAUGUCAUGUAGCGGUGAAAUGCUUAUAUAUGACAUAGAACACCUAUUGCGAAGGCAGCUUACUACGCAUAUAUUGACGCUGAGGCACGAAAGCGUGGGGAUCAAACAGGAUUAGAUACCCUGGUAGUCCACGCCCUAAACGAUGGAUACUCGACAUGCGCGAUACACUGUGUGUGUCUGAGCGAAAGCAUUAAGUAUCCCACCUGGG
rnacentral:rRNA from 1 species